CCAGGGAAAAGAGUUCCGCCCGUUCGUGAACUUCAUGUGAGCGCAGCUACGUAGCUCACGGUCUUUUGUGGCCGCUUCUUUUGCUCAACCUGAGGAGGCACCCGCCUGGCCCUGCUCCCGAGGCUCCUCCCUUUUGGACUCUCUCAAAGUUCUGUUAUUCUCGGCUCAGCUUGAGGCCUGAGGGGUGAGCUGGCAGGCAUCCAAGGUAAGCAAGAGCAGCUGGAGAGGAGAGGGACUUUUCGGGGUGGGAAGAUGAACCCAAUCAGAUCCCCGCUGAGGACCGUCGGGGCUCGUGUGAAGGGCUCUGCUGCAUUCGUCCGGGAACACCGUGGGAAGGGAGGGUUUGGGUACAGAUGAGGCCUCUUCUGGGCCAGGCUGUGUCCUGGGGAAGGCAGGCUGCCCGGGUUCAAGUCCCAUCUCUGUGACCAUAAAACCUGUAGAAUGGGGCAGCGUCCGGUUGGGGCUGUUUGGGGAGGAAAUAACUCUGUGCACGUGAAGGUUCCUGACCCUGGAAUAGAGCUGGCUGUCAGGAUUGUAAUGUGCUGGGAGCCAGCUGUUUUAUGGGCACAAUUUUACUGAGCCUGCGUACUGCUCGGGAGAGCAUACCCCCUCUCGUCCCCAUUCGACAGAUAAGAAAGUGGAGACACGGAGAGGCCGAGAACCUGCCCGAAACCACACCGUGACAUCUGUGGCAGAGUCGGGCUUUGAUGCUGCGUCCGUCUGACUCCGGAGCCCAGGCCUCCGACCCCAGGGCUAUGAGCUGCCGUGGCGCGGUGCACAGCAUUGGACUGUAGGGACCCAGGCUCAUGCCUCCCCUGGUUUGGGGAGCCGGAUCUCAGGAUCGUCUGCUUUGUCUGUUAAAUGGGCCUACACGAACAGCAGGGCCUUCCUCCUUCCUGGGUUCGUGGCUAGUGAGCUCUCAGGGGUGGGACAGGCACGGGGGCCUGGUCGGGAGAGGCCUCUGAAUCUGUUCAGCACCGGCCGGCUUUGCCGAGGCACCUUGCCUUUGCUUUUCAGGAGGGAGGCCCAGGCGACAGUCCCGAGUCCACUCGGUGGCCCCCUUGUAGGGAGCGUGCCCUGACUCUGCUCUUGGGGUGCUCCAGAACUUGGGCCGGGCACUCGAACGGCUGUUCCUAACCCGGGCUGCCGAGUAUUGCAAAAGCUACCUAUGAUACACCCCGGGGAACCAGAGGUUGAGGCCAUUGGCCACAGUCCAGGAGGACUUCACAGAGGAGGCCUCCUUGGAGCAGGGUUCUGUAGGCUGAUUAAGAGUUCCUUAAGGCAGAGAUGAUGAUAAAGCUCUUCUUAGCAGAGGGAACAGCUGAUAGGCAUCAGCGGCUCCACUCCACCCCCCCCCCCCCCUCGGCUUGGCCAUCUGUUAUCCAGUGGGGGCUGGAAGCCUGAACGUGAUAUUUUCCAGAGCCCCUUGCCAGCAAGUUUCUGGAUGGAUUCUGCCAGCGGGGAGAAGGCAGGAGGACGAGAGAUGCCAGCCUGCCUCUACCUCCCGCCACGGCCAGGCCGACUUGAGCGGACUUCACAGACGCCCAUCAGUUCUACUGGUUCUAGGGCCGCGGUGAGAGCGCCUCCAGAAAGUACGUGGCGCUUCCUGGGCGUUUCAACACGCGUCCCCUGGGGGCAGAGACCGUCGUCUAUGGCGUCUUCAAUCAACAAACAUUUAUUAGCGGCUGGUCAGUGGGGAAUGAGAUGGGUGACCAGGUUCCCGUACUUUCGGAAUCACAGUCCAGAAGCCACCUGUGGCUCUCGAGAACCUGAAGCACAGCCAGUCCAAACUGAGCUGGGCUGUCCGCGUAAAAUAGAAACCACGUUUCAAAGACUUACCGUGCAAAUAAGAAGGUAAAAUAUCUCACGAAUAUUUUUCAGAUUGAUUACAUGUUGGCACAAUAUUUCAGACAUACUAGGUUAAAUAAAAUACACUA